UUAUAACCGGCGAUUUCCGAAUGGGGAAACCCAGUGUGUUUCGACACACUAUCAUUAACUGAAUCCAUAGGUUAAUGAGGCGAACCGGGGGAACUGAAACAUCUAAGUACCCCGAGGAAAAGAAAUCAACCGAGAUUCCCCCAGUAGCGGCGAGCGAACGGGGAGCAGCCCAGAGCCUGAAUCAGUAUGUGUGUUAGUGGAAGCGUCUGGAAAGGCGCGCGAUACAGGGUGACAGCCCCGUACACAAAAAUGCACAUGCUGUGAGCUCGAUGAGUAGGGCGGGACACGUGGUAUCCUGUCUGAAUAUGGGGGGACCAUCCUCCAAGGCUAAAUACUCCUGACUGACCGAUAGUGAACCAGUACCGUGAGGGAAAGGCGAAAAGAACCCCGGCGAGGGGAGUGAAAAAGAACCUGAAACCGUGUACGUACAAGCAGUGGGAGCACGCUUAGGCGUGUGACUGCGUACCUUUUGUAUAAUGGGUCAGCGACUUAUAUUCUGUAGCAAGGUUAACCGAAUAGGGGAGCCGAAGGGAAACCGAGUCUUAACUGGGCGUUAAGUUGCAGGGUAUAGACCCGAAACCCGGUGAUCUAGCCAUGGGCAGGUUGAAGGUUGGGUAACACUAACUGGAGGACCGAACCGACUAAUGUUGAAAAAUUAGCGGAUGACUUGUGGCUGGGGGUGAAAGGCCAAUCAAACCGGGAGAUAGCUGGUUCUCCCCGAAAGCUAUUUAGGUAGCGCCUCGUGAAUUCAUCUCCGGGGGUAG
rnacentral:rRNA from 1 species